rnacentral:rRNA from 1 species
GCGCGAAGGAUCAUUACAGAGUUCAUGCCCUUCGGGGUAGACCUCCCACCCUUGAAUAUAUACCUUUGUUGCUUUGGCGGGCCGCCUCGGCUACUGGCUUCGGCUGGUGAGUGCCCGCCAGAGGACCCAAAAUUCUGAAUUAUAGUGUCGUCUGAGUACUAUAUAAUAGUUAAAACUUUCAACAACGGAUCUCUUGGUUCUGGCAUCGAUGAAGAACGCAGCGAAAUGCGAUAAGUAAUGUGAAUUGCAGAAUUCAGUGAAUCAUCGAAUCUUUGAACGCACAUUGCGCCCCUUGGUAUUCCGGGGGGCAUGCCUGUUCGAGCGUCAUUAUAACCCCUCAAGCUCAGCUUGGUGUUGGGGCCUGCCGUCUGGCAGCCCUUAAAAUCAGUGGCGGUGCCAUCUGGCUCUAAGCGUAGUAAUUUUUCUCGCUACAGAGUUCUGGUGGAUGCUUGCCAUCAACCCCCAAUUUUCUAUGGUUGACCUCGGAUCAGGUAGGGAUACCCGCUGAACUUAAGCAUAUCAAUAAGCGGAGGAAAAGAAACCAACAGGGAUUGCCUCAGUAACGGCGAGUGAAGCGGCAACAGCUCAAUUUGAAAUCUGGCUCUUUCAGGUCCGAGUUGUAAUUUGUAGAAGAUGCUUCGAGUGUGGU